GAUGAAUGCUGGCGGCGUGCCUAAUACAUGCAAGUCGAGCGGUAACACUUCGGGUGACGAGCAGCGGACGGCAGAGUAACGCGUAGGAACGUACCCCAAACUGAGGGAUAACGCACCGAAAGGUGUGCUAAUACCGCAUGUGAUCUUCGGAUUAAAGCUUCGGCGGUUUGGGAACGGCCUGCGUAUGAUUAGCUUGUUGGUGAGGUAAUGGCUCACCAAGGCGACGAUCAUUAGCUGGUCUGAGAGGAUGAUCAGCCUGACUGGAACUGAGACACGGUCCAGACUCCUACGGGAGGCAGCAGUAGGGAAUUUUCCACAAUGGGCGAAAGCCUGAUGGAGCAACGCCGCGUGCAGGAUGAAGGCCUUCGGGUUGUAAACUGCUUUUGUCUGUGAAGAUUAUGACGGUAGCAGACGAAUAAGGACCGGCUAACUACGUGCCAGCCGCCGCUGUAA
rnacentral:rRNA from 1 species